GCUAACUCUGUGCCAGCAGCCGCGGUAAUACAGAGGGUGCAAGCGUUAAUCGGAAUUACUGGGGCGGUGAAAGGGAGGCGUAGGUGGCUCGAUAAGUCAGAUGUGAAAUCCCCGGGCUCAACCUGGGAACUGCAUCUGAUACUGUUGAGCUAGAGUAUGUGAGAGGAAGGUAGAAUUCCAGGUGUAGCGGUGAAAUGCGUAGAGAUCUGGAGGAAUACCGAUGGCGAAGGCAGCCUUCUGGCAUAAUACUGACACUGAGGCUCGAAAGCGUGGGUAGCAAACAGGAUUAGAUACCCUGGUAGUCCACGCCGUAAACGAUGUCUACUAGUCGUUGGGUCCCUUGAGGACUUAGUGACGCAGCUAACGCAAUAAGUAGACCGCCUGGGGAGUACGGCCGCAAGGUUAAAACUCAAAUGAAUUGACGGGGGCCCGCACAAGCGGUGGAGCAUGUGUUUAAUUCCGAUGCAACGCGAAGAACCUUA
rnacentral:rRNA from 1 species